UACGUAGGGGGCGAGCGUUGUCCGGAAUCAUUGGGCGUAAAGAGCGUGUAGGCGGCUUGGAAAGUCUUACGUGAAAGCCUGCGGCUCAACCGCAGAAGUGCGUAGGAAACUUCCUCGCUAGAGUCCGGAAGAGGAGAGCGGAAUUCCUGGUGUAGCGGUGGAAUGCGCAGAUAUCAGGAGGAACACCCGUGGCGAAGGCGGCUCUCUGGGACGGUACUGAUGCUGAGACGCGAAAGCGUGGGGAGCGAACAGG
rnacentral:rRNA from 1 species